GUGAGAGUAGUGUUAAUGGUAGCACGACAAGCUCCAACCUUGUUAGUCUGGGUUCGAGUCCUAGCUCUCAUGCCA
rnacentral:tRNA from 1 species